rnacentral:rRNA from 1 species
GACGGAGGAUGCAAGCGUUAUCCGGGAUGAUUGGGCGUAAAGCGUCCGCAGGUGGCAGUUCAAGUCUGCUGUCAAAGACCGGGGCUUAACUUCGGAAAGGCAGUGGAAACUGAACAGCUAGAGUAUGGUAGGGGCAGAGGGAAUUCCUGGUGUAGCGGUGAAAUGCGUAGAGAUCAGGAAGAACAUCGGUGGCGAAGGCGGCGACCUGGUCCUUAUACUGACGCUGAGGCGCGAAAGCGUGGGGAGCAAACAGG